AAGCACCCGGACAUUGUAUUGAAAAUUUCCGAUAUCAGUUCUCCAUGAUGCAUGCCAACCAGUUUAUUUGGAUGUCUUAUCUCCAACGGCAGUUGCCGGAAAGUUGUGAUGCCGGUCGUCCUGUAUGGAUGUCGAUAACAACGCUUAUUUGCUGGAAUCUGGCUGAGCCACACCUGCCACACCGAGUGUUGCGCCAAUUUGGGAUUGUCCAACCGUAUAUCCCGCAACUCCCCCGGUUCCACGGUACUGAUUUUGCGAAACAGGAUCGCCGUGGAAAAGCUGGUCGAAAUUGAGUUGAUUGGCACGCCAAUUAUAUACAGGAGUGGGACAACAGGCACUUUUUGGUGUGGACUGAUCUGGAGUACAGUGAUGAGCCUGUUGCAACCGAAGAAUAUAUGGAUUGGUUUCGGCAGAUAACUGUGGUGUAUUUAACCAAACCCGGCGUGCGUGCUGAACAGGGCUUCCACGAAACGGCAUCUUCUCAUAGAUUCGCGGUGGAGACACUUCACAACGUGCGCCACUUUCUAAGUGGCCAAGAUACGACAUAACAUCCGGCUUUGGGAACCAUUUCGAGGAUGAUUGAAGAAGGACUGCGGAUAUCCGGGGAGGCUGAGCGGAUGGACUACCGUCCUUCGCAGCGCUCUGCAAUGGACGUGGACGUACCCGUAAGGCAAAAGGCAAAACGACGAACCAAAAAGAAAACCGCCUGCGGAGAGUCGUCAUCUCAGCCCCUACACCGCUCCGAUGACGAUUUUGUGGAACCACCUCUACCUAGAUCUGCAGUUCGAGACCGUCAUUCUGUCAGCCACACCGGUGGUACCGUAAAAGAUAUUGGCCUCAGUGAUGUCCCCACUUCUCCACCGUGGUCGUCUGUGCAAGAUGACUUUUUUGGGGUGGAUCUAGAGAACACUGUUGUUCAAGAUACUCCUCCCUCAAGGAUCCCUAGAUCUACAUCCAGAAUUGGGAAGGGGAUACGGGGUUUGUUUAUGCGGAAACGGCGAGAUGAUUAAACUAAUUUGAUACUUUCUAUUGAUAUUGGUGGUUUUUCAUUGAUUUGAACUCGUUAUAUUAGUAAUUUGAUAAAUCCUCUUUUUACACGUAUUCA